GGCGCUGUGGCUCAAGCGGUAGAGCGCUUGCCUUGUAUGCAUGAGGCCCUGGGUUCAAUUCCUCAGCACCA
rfam:Dipodomys ordii contig_86518, whole genome shotgun sequence.